UAAAAUUUAACUCAUUUUUAAACAAACUUUAUGAAGAACGUUGGAGCAAAUUCGGAUAUUCAUUUGGUGCUUUUUGAUGAAGAAAACAGGGCAGUUGGUUUUCACUCGAAAUCAGGAGGUCUCUGGUUUUUCUUGUAUUUCAGAGUGUAUCGGUGGAGUUAGAAUUUCUAUUUGGAACAAGUUAAAGAGGUCGUGUGCGCGCGAUUCUGGAAGUGGUUCUGUUUUGAGGGUUAUAUGUGUUUAUGCACGGGGAAUCAGAUUUAUAUGUCUUCAGGCCGAGAAGAAUUAAACCGAGCUUAUAGACCAAGGAUCUAGCCCAAGACUGUGAGUGACAAAACCAACUUUGAAAUAUUUUCCAUAACUGUUAUUAUGAUUGAAUGCGAUAAAUGUUUAUUUAUGAAGCCAUGAAAGGUAUUUGAAUUUCAUGACUAUUUUCAAGUAUACAUUUGGAGACUAGAUUUCUUAAAGAAAUUUAUGCUAGCACGUAGAUAUUAAAUGUUUGGAAAGUAUUUAAACCACAAUAUUUUAAGCAAAGCAUGAAUUAGUAUGAAGUUUUGUUUUAAGAACUACAAUUUUCCACGAAAGAGCUGAGUAAAGUUCGAGCUUUGUGUAAAAUUUAUAAGCAGGCAUGUUUUAAUAUUUUAUGAUGAUUUAUGAAAUUUUCAUUAACUACAUGACUAAGAUCUUGAGCCUGAGGCUAGAGAUUACCGUGUGCACACUGGUUAGAUUUUGUUGUUGACGUUGAGUGUACUCCGUAACAACGAUGCUGUCGUGAGUGCUGGGCGGGCCCCACUACGACAAAGACGAUGGGAGUGCUGGGCGGGCCCCACUACAUCGUAGUGCUUGUAAACGUUGUUGUACUAGGUGUACCCUACACAACGUAGAUUCGUCAUGUUAGUUAAAAUGCUUCGAUAUACUUGAUAUGCCUUGCUAGAUUUCAAUGAUGAACAUGCUGAGUAUUUAAGGAAGCUAUUCUUACUAUUACACAUUUACAUUUACGACUUGUAUAAAUAGAUUUAUAUGUGUAAAGUUUUCACGUGCUCUUAUCUUUAAAUUCAUAGUUUUAAACUGAGUCACUCACUGAGCUUCAUAGCUCACCCUUUCCAAAAUGUUUUACCCAUUUUCCAGGUAGAGAUCGACUUCCCGGUGCCUGAUAGACUGCCUUAGUCUGCGGAAGCUUCAUUAUCGAUUGCCAGUACGUGUUUUGAGUUGGGCAUAAAGUCUGUUGUGUUGUGAUGUAUUCACACCCUUGUAUGUUAUAGAUACUCCACAGUUUGUAUAAGCUUUAGGAGCUGUAGUUGUGUAAAUUUUGUUGGUUAUAUUUUGAUUAAGGUGUCUUUAGGUUUACUCGUGAAAUCGGUAAAUUUUGAGGUACACUUCAUGUAUGUGUUUGACUAGCUGUGUUUGACUAGCCUAGGAUCCGCUGUGUUUUGUGGCAUGUACAAUAGUUUAUAUACUAGAUUGGCAAGUUCAUCACAUGAAAGUUUUAAGCAGAGUCGACAGAUACAGGUACAGAAAAACGUUGUUCGUCGGCUUCACGCCAUCUUUCGAUCUAAGGUAGCAGGUAGUCCGGGAGGGGGUGUGACAACUUGGUAUCAGAGCAGUUUGCUCCAUGGGAAUUAAGGAGUCAUGCCACCACGUACUGGUAGACGACGCCGGCAGAAUCAGGACGGGAUGCAAGGUCCUACCCAAGGUCCAUCUGUAGGGGAAUCUAGUACCCUAGGAGUUCGAGGUGGUGCAGGAAACGAGCAGUUUGCGAGAACAACACAGAAAAUAGGAAGGCCAGAUAGAGCAGAGCCUAGUGAUCCAGAAAAGGCAUAUGGAAUUGAACGGCUGAAGAAGUUAGGGGCUACAGUGUUUGAAGGUUCCACAGAUCCAGCUGAUGCAGAGAACUGGUUGAAUAUGCUUGAAAAGUGUUUUGAUGUGAUGAAUUGUCCUGAGGAGCGAAAGGUUAGAUUGGCCACAUUUUUGUUGCAAAAAGAGGCUGAAGGAUGGUGGAAAUCUAUAUUAGCAAGACGCAGUGAUGCACGUGCUUUAGACUGGCAGACUUUUAGAGGCAUAUUCGAAGAUAAGUAUUAUCCCAGCCAACUCUUCACUUGUAGAGCUUUCUUCGGACCAGCCACUCUUCAACUUCCGACUAGAGGAGCUGUAGUCAACUUUACCUUUUCCUUUGCAAUCUUUUGUAGAAGCAUCUCUUUGUUCUGGGAUGUCAAAUAAUUCAUUGUACAUCUCAACUGACUCCCAUGUAAAAGUAUCAUCUUUUGAAUGAUAUGACUCAUAUGAUUCCCAUA